AGUCAGACUGUGGGUGAUAAGAUUCAUAGUCGAAAGGGCAACAGCCCAGAUCGUCAGCUAAGGUCCCUAAAUGUAAGUUAAGUGGUAAAGGAUGUGGGAUUGCACAGACAACCAGGAUGUUGGCUUAGAAGCAGCCACUCAUUCAAAGAGUGCGUAAUAGCUCACUGGUCGAGUGAUCCUGCGCCGAAGAUUUCCGGGGCUAAAACUUACUACCGAAGCUACGGCAUCAGUAAUGAUGGGUAGGGGAGCUUCCCAUACGGGUUGAAGCAUGACCGUAAGGACAUGUGGACAGUAUGGGAGUGAGAAUGUUGGCAUGAGUAGCGAGAUGUGGGUGAGAAUCCCACAGGCCGUAAACCCAAGGUUUCCAGGGGAAGGUUCGUCCGCCCUGGGUUAGUCGGGACCUAAGCUGAGGCCGAAAGGCGUAGGUGAUGGACAACAGGUUGAUAUUCCUGUACUACCGAUAACCGUUUGAGAGAAGGGAUGACACAGUAGGAUAAGCUAAGCACACUGUUGGUUAUGUGUGCCCAAGCAUUGAGGCAGUCAAAGUAGGCAAAUCCGCUUUGAUAAUGCUGGGAUGUGAUGGGGAGCGAAAUUUAGUAGCGAAGUAGCUGAUUUCACACUGUCAAGAAAAGUCUCUAUCGAGGUUAAAGGUACCCGUACCGCAAACCGACACAGGUGGGUGAGGAGAGUAUCCUAAGGCCAGCGAGAGAACUGUUGUUAAGGAACUCGGCAAAAUGACCCCGUAACUUAGGGAUAAGGGGUGCCACCAUCAGGUGGCCGCAGAGAAUAGGCCCAAGCGACUGUUUACCAAAAACAUAGGUUUCUGCUAAGUCGCAAGACGAUGUAUAGGAGCUGACGCCUGCCCGGUGCUGGAAGGUUAAGGGGAUCUGUUAGAGCAAUCGAAGCAGUGAACUUAAGCCCCAGUAAACGGCGGCCGUAACUAUAACGGUCCUAAGGUAGCGAAAUUCCUUGUCGGGUAAGUUCCGACCCGCACGAAAGGCGUAACGAUUUGGGCACUGUCUCAACAACAGACUCGGUGAAAUUGUAAUUCCGGUGAAGAUGCCGGAUACCUGCGACAGGACGGAAAGACCCCAUGGAGCUUUACUGUAGCUUGACAUUGGGUCUUGGUACUACAUGUACAGGAUAGGUGGGAGGCUUUGAAACCAGGACGCCAGUUUUGGCGGAGCCAUCCUUGGGAUACCACCCUUGUAGUACUGGGACUCUAACCAUAGGCCAUGAAUCUGGUCUUGGGACACUGUCAGGUGGGCAGUUUGACUGGGGCGGUCGCCUCCCAAAAGGUAACGGAGGCGCUCAAAGGUUCUCUCAGUACGGUCGGAAAUCGUACGUAGAGUGUAAAGGCAAAAGAGAGCUUGAUUGCAAGACAUACAGGUCGAGCAAGGAUGAAAAUCGGACUUAGUGAUCCGGUGGUUCUGCGUGGAAGGGCCAUCGCUCAACGGAUAAAAGCUACCCUGGGGAUAACAGGCUUAUCUCCCCCAAGAGUCCACAUCGACGGGGAGGUUUGGCACCUCGAUGUCGGCUCAUCACAUCCUGGGGCUGUAGUAGGUCCCAAGGGUUGGGCUGUUCGCCCAUUAAAGUGGUACGCGAGCUGGGUUCAGAACGUCGUGAGACAGUUCGGUCCCUAUCCGUCGCAGGCGUAGGAAAUUUGAGAAGACCUGUCCUUAGUACGAGAGGACCGGGAUGGACGUACCUCUGGUGUACCAGUUGUCCUGCCAAGGGCAUGGCUGGGUAGCUAUGUACGGAAUGGAUAAGCGCUGAAAGCAUCUAAGCGCGAAGCCAACUUCAAGAUAAGAUUUCCCACCGCAAGGGUAAGACCCCAGAAAGACUAUCUGGUUGA
rnacentral:rRNA from 1 species